UAUUUACAAUGGGAAAACGAAGUACUAGACAAAGAGGUUGACUAUGACUUAUGUCAAAUUGAUCCAGCUCCAUUCCAACUUGUAGAAAGAACAUCACUACUUCAGGUCAUUCAGGUGCACAAAUUGUUUGCUUUGUUAAAUCUUUCUCAUGCCUAUGUCACAUCACUUGGUCGGCUUGUUGGAGUGGUUGCUCUUACUGAGGUUCGGCAAACUGUUGAAGGACACGAGACACAUGAGGAAAUGCAUCGAAAUCAUCAUGCAGUUUCAUAACUUCAUAAGGCAGAUAUUACCAGCUACAGAGUCGAGGUUUUUUGACAAAAUUUUAUUGCAGACAUCGUAUUACACAAGUGCAUUGAUAUUACACAACUACACAAAAAAUAUGGAGAAUAAAUACAAAUGUAUGGGUGGAUGUUGAUUGGCAAAGAGAAAGCUCAUUAAUAAGUGUACACUAGGCCUAUCACUAUGAAUGGCUUAGUGACUGACAACCAACACCAAUUCACAAAUAUCAACAUUGAUACACCACUAAUUGAUUGACAGUUGAUCAACUAAUUUAACAAUCUAUGUAUUUUCACAUGAGAUUAAUGCAUUUUGUAAAUAGGCCAUAAUUUAUUCCAAAUUGAAUUCAUGACCAAAAAGUAAUGUUAACUGUUAAAGUAGUUUUGUAUGUAGGAAAAAAUGUUUAAAACAAUACAAAUUAAAUGUUCUACUGUUCAACAGUUCAAGAUAGCAAGUUAGAUGGCUAUUAAAAAAUGUUUUACAACGUUUACGCAGUUUACUGAUAUUUGUGAACCCUAUGUUGUCUCCUAUGCGUAUUAUUAUUUCACUUUGGACUCUUCGGACCCUCUUUGGGACGGUACCAAUGGAAAUUCUAGAACUGAAUCAUCUA